rnacentral:rRNA from 1 species
AAUACCACCCUUUAAUGUUUGAUGUUCUAACGUUGACCCGUGAUCCGGGUUGCGGACAGUGUCUGGUGGGUAGUUUGACUGGGGCGGUCUCCUCCUAAAGAGUAACGGAGGAGCACGAAGGUUGGCUAAUCCUGGUCGGACAUCAGGAGGUUAGUGCAAUGGCAUAAGCCAGCUUGACUGCGAGCGUGACGGCGCGAGCAGGUGCGAAAGCAGGUCAUAGUGAUCCGGUGGUUCUGAAUGGAAGGGCCAUCGCUCAACGGAUAAAAGGUACUCCGGGGAUAACAGGCUGAUACCGCCCAAGAGUUCAUAUCGACGGCGGUGUUUGGCACCUCGAUGUCGGCUCAUCACAUCCUGGGGCUGAAGUAGGUCCCAAGGGUAUGGCUGUUCGCCAUUUAAAGUGGUACGCGAGCUGGGUUUAGAACGUCGUGAGACAGUUCGGUCCCUAUCUGCCGUGGGCGCUGGAGAACUGAGGGGGGCUGCUCCUAGUACGAGAGGACCGGAGUGGACGCAUCACUGGUGUUCGGGUUGUCAUGCCAAUGGCACUGCCCGGUAGCUAAAUGCGGAAGAGAUAAGUGCUGAAAGCAUCUAAGCACGAAACUUGCCCCGAGAUGAGUUCUCCCUGACUCCUUGAGAGUCCUGAAGGAACGUUGAAGACGACGACGUUGAUAGGCCGGGUGUGUAAGCGCAGCGAUGCGUUGAGCUAACCGGUACUAAUGAACCGUGAGGCUUAACCUUACAACGCCGAAG